AACGAACGCUGGCGGCAGGCCUAACACAUGCAAGUCGAACGCCCUAGCAAUAGGGAGUGGCAGACGGGUGAGUAACACGUGGGAACCUUCCCUAUAGUACGGAAUAGCCCAGGGAAACUUGGAGUAAUACCGUAUACGCCCGAGAGGGGAAAGAUUUAUCGCUAUAGGAUGGGCCCGCGUCGGAUUAGCUAGUUGGUGAGGUAAUGGCUCACCAAGGCAACGAUCCGUAGCUGGUUUGAGAGAAUGACCAGCCACACUGGGACUGAGACACGGCCCAGACUCCUACGGGAGGCAGCAGUGGGGAAUCUUGGACAAUGGGCGCAAGCCUGAUCCAGCCAUGCCGCGUGAGUGAUGAAGGCCUUAGGGUUGUAAAGCUCUUUUGCCGGGGACGAUAAUGACGGUACCCGGAGAAUAAGUCCCGGCUAACUUCGUGCCAGCCGCCGCCGUAA
rnacentral:rRNA from 1 species